rnacentral:rRNA from 1 species
GUGGGGAAUUUUGGACAAUGGGCGAAAGCCUGAUCCAGCCAUUCCGCGUGAGUGAAGAAGGCCUUCGGGUUGUAAAGCUCUUUCGCAAGGAAAGAAAACUUAUCUCCUAAUACGGGGUGAGGAUGACGGUACCUUGAUAAGAAGCACCGGCUAACUACGUGCCAGCAGCCGCGGUAAUACGUAGGGUGCGAGCGUUAAUCGGAAUUACUGGGCGUAAAGCGUGCGCAGGCUGUUUUGUAAGUCAGAUGUGAAAUCCCUGGGCUCAACCUAGGAACUGCGUUUGAAACUACAAGGCUAGAGUGUAGCAGAGGGGGGUAGAAUUCCACGUGUAGCAGUGAAAUGCGUAGAGAUGUGGAGGAAUACCAAUGGCGAAGGCAGCCCCCUGGGUUAACACUGACGCUCAUGCACGAAAGCGUGGGGAGCAAACAGGAUUAGAAACCCGUGUAGUCC